rnacentral:lncRNA from 1 species
UUCAGGAAUUCAUAAUACCUAUCGAAGGAUCACGCCCUUUCUCUCUCCCUCUUCCUUCGCCUCCUCCACCGCCUCCGACGACGACGCCUCUCCGCCGAUAUCGGCACCGUGGAGGUCGCUGCGGCGCCGCAGUCUCGGAGUGGGGGGUCUUUAGUGGCGUCGUCGCCGGCGCCGUGGCCGUUGGCGGAAAGGCGUGAUAAAAAAAAUUAUAGAAGAGGAAGAAGAAAAAAAUAAAGAUAAAAAAAUAUAUAAGAAGGAAGAAGAUGAUGAAAUUGCACUGUUAAAAUAAGAUUAUACUGUUUUAAAAUAAAUUUGCACUGUUUUAAUAAAAAUUGUACUAUUUGAUAUAAAAAUUAUAUUUUUUAGAAUGAAUUUUACACUCUUAAGACUAACGUUGCACUAUUUAGAAAAAAUUUGCACCAUUCUUUUUCUUUUCUUUUUCUCUUUCUCUUCUUCUUCUUCUUCUUCUUCUUCUUCUUCUUCUGCUGCUGCUGUCUCCCGUCCGGCUCGCGAAGGCGCGGUGGGGACUAUCGCCGAGCUCGAGGAGGCUCCUAACAAUAAAGAAUUUUGAUAUAAACCCUUACCUUUAUUAUUUUUUAACUUCAUUUUAAUUUAAAUAAUUUUAGCUGAUUAAAUUAAAAACUUUAAUCUAUUUAUAUAUAUUCAAUUAAAUUUAGUUUUUAAAAAUAAAAAAUAUAAUAAU